rfam:Myotis brandtii contig300532, whole genome shotgun sequence.
UGCAUUAAAAAACUAUGUAGAGUUAUUACAUUUUUAUUAUAUACACUAUGGGAUAUGUAGGUCAAUAUAUAUUUGUCUUAAUAAAGGAAUUUAAGCUUAAUUUAAAAAAAUAACUGGAAGACCCUCUGAGGAUAUUGACUAGAUGUAAUUUCUUCCCAGCGCUCUAAAAGUCAAAGUGUAGAAAAUCAAUGAAGAGCAGUAAAGAGCAGGAAUGAUCUUAAGGCAACGAAAUGUGUUAUCUAAUUAGUGAUGAACAUGAAUGUCCCUAUCUUCUAUCCAGGAAAACCAUAGCCAACGGCACAGGCUUGGCGGAAUUAACAGGAAAAGAAGACACUGUUGUGCUUGACUCUAGUCCAGGUGAAGAGACCUGAGAGUUGUAUAAUAAGUGGGAGUUCCCUGGUGCUCCAGUCCCCAUGUGGGGACAUGGCAGGAUCUUCCAUUCCUGCUGGCCAAAAUACCACUAUUCUUAGCCUUUUUGUACUGAUAGGAGAUGGGGUGGGGGCAUGUUAAGUUGGGAAGGGCUCUGGCUUUUGGCACCAUAUGCUUGCUGCACCCCACUCCAGUAUCAAUGCCAGGUGGGGAGUUUGACUGAGGCAGUACACCUGUUAGACAGUAAUGCAGGUGUCCUAAGAUGAGCUCAGGAGGACAGAAACCUCCCACAGAGCAGGACAAAAGAUAGAUUGAUUUUGACUUUCAGUAGAGUACAGAAUGUAAAAUGGGGACCUCAUGAUCUUUCUGACAUUUUAUAUUUUAAGCAGGAGAUGUCAGAAUAGUUACCACAGGGGUAACUGGCUUCUGGCAGGCAAGAGUUUAUAGUGACAUAGCUUUUUACCCUUCAAUGUAGAUCCUUUCUAUCAUUAUGAAUUCACCAAACAUUGGAUUGUUCACCCACUAAAUAAAUAAAUAAACAAACAAACAAUAUUUUUUACAAAUUACUUUUUUUGAGUUCAC